rnacentral:lncRNA from 1 species
UCCUGCUCAGCCCGGAGCACAGGGGCAACUUCUGCUCAUCAUUUAAUAUUUAACUCAGGAUUCUCCUCUCUGUGUACCUUCUGUGACUUGUGAACAUGGAUCCAACCCCUCCCUCUUAUGUACUGAAAUUGUACCUGGUACACACUUCUAUACAACACUUACAUUGUGUCACAGUAAUACACUGACUUCCUUCAGGUCUUGUAAAUUGAGGAGAGAGAAUCAGUCCAAUGGAUGGCCAAUCCCAUGGUUGGCACAUAGAAGGCACUUACAAAAGUUUAUUGAAUUGAAAUGGAAAUUUCACCUUAAAAAAUAUUUUUAAUCAUUAACAAAGUUGGAGCUUUAUACACAAAAGAUAAUAAAGGAAGAAAAUAGCAAAAAGACCAAGAAAUAGCUAUCUAUGGCUGAUUUAACUUGUUUACCAUCAGAUGCUUUAUUUUUAUUCCUGCUAUCAAACGUGUGCCCAUCUCCUGAAGAGGUGUAAUUUCAAAAGCCAUAAAUUCUUUUCUCUUUACAUCACAAAAGAGAGAGGACAAAAUCAGCGAUCAAGGGAAAGCAUGAGACAGACAUGCCCUUGGAGAAGCCACAGCCUGUCUCUGGUGACCACGACUAAUAGGAGCCAAGAAGGUCAAAACCCUGCACCACAGCAUCUGUGACUCAGGUCCCAAGUACACGGGGCCUGAGGAGGCUCUGGUUGCAUUCAAGACAUGAUGGAUAUUUAAGAUGCCAGUGACAUAAUCUGACAAAAGUCCGUUUUCUUCUAUCUGAGUGCAAAGCUGAAGUCCAUUCUCAGAGACAUGAAAAUCAAUCACUGUGCAGCUUCCUAGAGAGUCAAGUAACAGGUCCCUUCUGGGCCCUCCCAGAUCAUUCCUAAGCAAAAGCUAGAUUGCUUUUCUUCUCUCCUUCAAAUAUGUUUAACCAUCACGUGAACUCAAUGCAUCCCAACGGCCCCCACAGCUCGUGUCCACAUGGUGUCGUUACUGAGUCCUUUGUAUCAGCUCCAGUUCUUCUCUCUUCAGGUUUUGAGCAGAAAGGAAGUUCUCCGGAGCCUUAUUGCAUGCUCAUCUCCACCUGCUCUCUGCAGAAGUUUCCAGAUUGCUCCUCAUUCAGUUUUGGAAAAUUGGCCUUAAUGUUUAUCAAAUAUCUACUCUGUAUCAGACAUAAGGCAUAUGCAUACAUGCAUCAUUUUAUUUAGUCUUCAUGACAAGUGGGAAGGGAAUUAUUAUUGUCCCCAUUUUAAGGAUAGAGGAAUGCUAGAGCAGAGACGUAUAGGAACGCAGCUUGGCUCCCGGAGCUAACCUCUUGGAGAGCAGAGAUUCCCAGGAUUUGGACCCUGAGGCCCAUUCUCUUAAGCACUAUACUUCCUUGCUCUCUUUCUUCUGCCUGAGCACUGCCAUUAGGCUCCUGUGCUCACAUGUUCCAGCCACCCAGGCAGGGCCAGCCGAAGUCAUCUGUGAGAUUUUUUAGCAAACACACAGCCCUAAAUACAGCCUGGUGGCCCAUGUGACUCUAGAGGCUCCAGACCACCUGAGUUGGCCACCAUUCACUGAGGACACUGUUUCUCCCUCCUUGGCUCUUUAGAGGAUUCAAAAGUACAUCGGAGCACACGUGCUUUAAAACAUCACUAGUGAAUUGCAACUUCUUUAUAAUCAAAACAUCGAAAAGAGAUCUUCCUUUGGAGUCCUCAGGAAAGGCUAUGCCCUGUUAUCCCAUGUCAAGACCAGGAGCCAGUCCGCAGACUGGAG